rnacentral:misc_RNA from 1 species
CGUAAUGCUCAUAACUUCCCUCUAGACCUAGCUGCUGUCGAAGCCCCGUCUACAAAUGGAUAAGACUUUGGUUUUAGUGUAUACGAGUUCUUGAAAAUAAAGGGGCAAUAACCAAUUUCUUGUUGUAUCAAGAGGGUUGGUUAUUGCUCCUAUGAUUGAGUAUUAUAUUUUUUUUUAUGUACUAAUUUUCAAUUAAAAUUUAUAUACUUUCUUCUCAAUUUUUUCUUGUGUGAAGUAAAUGUUUUAUUUUUAAAAUUUUAAAAAUAAAAAAGAAAGGUUUCAAUUUUUCAAUUUUCGUCCUAUUCUAUCUUAUUCUUUUAUUGUAUAAGAAAAUCUUUCUUCUAAGAAAGAUAAAAAAAUUUAUGAAUGGUAAUGGUAAAUGUUAGAAAUGGAACUCUUUAUAAUUUUUAAUUUGUAAAAUUAUUUUUUUGUUAAA